UUCUACCCCUAUCUUAGCUAAUUCUCAAAAUACAACAGGACUUUUUCCUUCUCUUAUGUGGGAGCCUGUUACUUCUACUUCUUAAGGACUUAAAAACAAUGAAGAGAGAAAUGGGUGGGUCUCCCCUAGGUCCUGUGCUUGGAAGAGACAGAAGGAUUCUCUCAACCUCUCUCUCCUUUCCUCCCUCUAAUGGACUGCUUUUGUUUUUCUCCCAUCAGCAAGUUCCAGCUUGUUUGAUACCCUGGAUCUUCUCUAGAUAGAAUUUCAGGAGAGUCGGCGCCUUUGCCAUCACCAAUUCUCAUGGCUACUACUCAUUUUCCUUUCAGGAUUUAUACCGAGAAUCCAUCCUGAAUCUGGACUACCUGCAGCUAGAAAGAUUGUGGUCUGGGGAUCCCAUAAUGGACCACCUUGUCUUCAUGCUGAAGCACAUCCAUUUCUGGUUAGAGGUAGCCAGCAAUCAAUAUCAAGCCAGGGCCAUUGACUGUGCCUCCCACCUAAUUCAUUUUGCCUGCAGUUGCAUGAGCCUUGAGCACCUAGCCGACUUGUAUCCCAAGAUCUGUGGUGCCAAGAGCAACAAGAAAGACCCAUUUUGGAUUACAUUGACAUUUGCAAGGUCAGAGAGGUAGGGAUAUUUCUCUUUUCUUACAUUACCAAAUAUUUAAACUGAACACGAGUCAACAGUCUCUUUUUCUCUCUUCCAGGGCCUAGGCAACAUCUGUUGCUAGGAGGACCAUGGCAAGCCAUCAUUAGAAAACAUCAACACUUGCAGGGUCAGAGGGAUAGGAAUAUCCCUCUUUUUUUUUUUUUUUAAUGAAUAUCACUUUGAGAAAGAAACUAUGGGAUGGACUGCCUAUGAAACCUCAGGCCAGAAGGGAAGUUAGAAUCAUAGAAUCAUAGAAUAGUAGAGUUGGAAGAGACCACAUGGGCCAUCUAGUCCAACCCCCUGCUAAGAAGCAGGAAAUCGCAUUCAAAGCACCCCCGACAGAUGGCCAUCCAGCCUCUGCUUAAAAGCCUCCAAGGAAGGAGCCUCCACCACGGCCCCGGGGAGAGAGUUCCACUGUCGAACAGCUCUCACAGUGAGGAAGUUCUUCCUGAUGUUCAGGUGGAAUCUCCUUUCCUGUAGUUUGAAGCCAUUGUUCCGUGUCCUAGUCUGCAGGGCAGCAGAAAACAAGCUUGCUCCCUCUUCCCUAUGACUUCCCUUCACGUAUUUGUACAUGGCUAUCAUGUCUCCUCUCAGCCUUCUCUUCUGCAGGCUAAACAUGCCCAGCUCUUUAAGCCGCUCUUCAUAGGGCUUGUUCUCCAGACCCUUAAUCAUUUUAGUCACCCUCCUCUGGACGCUUUCCAGCUUGUCAACAUCUCCCUUCAACUGUGGUGUCCAAAAUUGGACACAGUAUUCCAGGUGUGGUCUGACCAAGGCAGAAUAGAGGGGGAGCAUAACUUCCCUGGAUCUAGACGCGAUUCCCCUAUUGAUGCAGGCCAGAAUCCCGUUGGCUUUUUUAGCAGCCGCAUCACAUUGUUGGCUCAUGUUUAACUUGUUGUCCACGAGGACUCCAAGGUCUUUUUCGCACACACUGCUGUCAAGCCAGGCGUCCCCCAUUCUGUAUCUUUGAUUUCCAUUUUUUCUGCCGAAGUGAAGUAUCUUGCAUUUGUCCCUGUUGAGCUUCAUUUUGUUAGUUUUGGCCCAUCUCUCUAGUCUGUCAAGAUCGUUUUGAAUUCUGCUCCUGUCUUCUGGAGUGUUAGCUAUCCCUCCCAGUUUUGUGUCAUCUGCAAACUUGAUGAUCGUGCCUUCUAACCCUUCGUCUAAGUCGUUAAUAAAGAUGUUGAACAGAACCAGGCCCAGGACGGAGCCCUGCGGCACUCCACUUGUAACUUCUUUCCAUGAAGUUUCCAAGUUUUUGCCUUCUUGAGACAUAGGUGUAACAAAACCCAGAGCAACAUUGGGAUCAAAGAAUUUUCUGGUUUGUAGAAGGCCAGCAGUGAACCAGAGGUGGGACUAAAGUUGGGAGAAUGGAAAGGAUCUCAGUAUCCUGCUUUUCUACACUAGAAGGUAUUCUGUCAGUAAAGGGUUUGUUCACUUAUGAUACCUCAGUUGAUUUGGGGACUCACUUGCAUCACAGUUCACCUCAUUCAACAAGGUAUCUUGACUCUUUGUAUAGCAUGUUCCAGUGAUAGGGCAAUUAACGUAUCAAAUAAAGUAAAACAAAAUAAGAAAAAGAAGCAACUCUAUUAUGUAUAUAUGUUUUUUUUCUAGUGUGUCUAUCUGGAUCAAGAUCACCAAAGCCCCUCUGCUGCCUUCCUUGCCAAGCACUCUCGGGCAAAUUCUAGCCUGUGAAGUCACUUGCUCUGCGAUCAGAUUGAAGCAUCCAGCAAUGCAACCAAUGCUCAGCAGAGGAGACACAAUUUAUUUGGCCUUUCCUACAUGAGGACGGCAAUCUAUCACCUCACAGUUAAUCUCAUUCAUGGCUGGGUUGAGCUGGGCAGUGGGUGGUAACCCUAAAUAGAAGAAGAGAAAAAAGUGGGCACGAUCUGAAUUUGAGCAGAGGGAUUUGAGGCAAACCCAGGGCAGAUUAUUCCAAUAUUUCAAAUGGCUUAUUUUGCUGGUGUAGAAAACUCCAUAAUUAGGAUUAGGGCGUGUCCGACUGGGGAACAGAUUCCUUUUGCUUUUCCUUUUGUAAAAAUCUUCAAAAAUAUGUAAUGCCAAUAAAAAGGCUGCCCCCAGCCUCCCAUCUUGUGCAGCACUUUAAAAAAAGAUCCCUUGGAAGCUUCAGUUUUGUAAAGCUACAGCUCUGAACUCGCACUCGUCAAAAGCUCCUUGGACUGCAUUGAUUUAAAUAAAUGGUGUUGCCAUUCA